UGGCAGCCGAGCCUCUCCUCCCCCUCACCUGACAGGUGCAGCGGCCCAGCCAGGGAGCCCGCCCGCCAGGCUGGGAUGGAAGCGACAGAAGCCUCAUUAGCAUCUCAAUUAAAGGGAUGGUCCCCAAUGAAAAUGCAAAGUCUCCGGAGAAGGAUGACCCCCUCACCCAUGACACAUCUCUCCGUAUUUACCAGACCCUUUCUGAGAGCACCAGUUGGCUAAGAACUGUGUGGGAAAGAGUAUCCAGAAGAAUCCAUUCCCACCAGGCACCCUUUUUGGAUUCUUCAUGGACCUCUGGGAAGGAAGAUCUCUCAGCAGUCCUCUCGGAAGAAGGCCAAACAUUCUGGGAAUCUGUGGGGUACUCAGUCCAGCCCUGGUGCUGCCCAAUGGAAAUGAGCUUCAAGGAAGCUGGCAAAGAACACAAAGAAAAAGAAACCAAGACAACGCCCUGCCCACAAAGAAUUCAUGGAACCCCCUGUGAGUUUCCUUCACCCUCCUGGAGAAGGUUGGGUAGGCAUAAUAACCAUUUAUUGCUAAGACUUAUCAAUUGUGGUCCAGCUUAGAAACAGCAAACACUCUUAAGUCUUCCAAAUGGAAGAAAGUUAACCCAAGAAAUUGGUACACGGGUGAUGAAAGAGAUGAGAAGCCAACGGGGGACAGCGAGGCAACCCAGAAAACAGCGAAGCAGGAAGCAGCUACAUCUCUAGGGCUGGAAGGACAGCAGGGUAAUUAAGCAUCAUAGACCCAGAGGCCUCCUGAGUUAUUUGGCAGGAAUUAAAUAGUGGGGACUGCCUGACAGGAGAUGGGAUUAUGAAAGGAGGGAAGGAAGAAACACAGGCAAACACAGGUGAUAUCCGAUGUCCGAAAAGCAAAGAGAGACAGAGAAAUAGCCUGGCUUCUUUCCUCCUCCCACCUACCUGUCCUUCACUCACCUGUCUGCCUAUUGGCUGAAACUACCCAGAAGCCCGAGGAAAAAGGAGUCUGGGAAAUGUAGUUCCCAGCAGUGAUACAAAACAGCAGAGGAAGAGGGGAGGACAGAUCUGUAAGCAAACCAGCAGUUGACUGGCAAAU